UACGGAGGGUGCAAGCGUUAUCCGGAUUCACUGGGUUUAAAGGGUGCGUAGGUGGGUUGGUAAGUCAGUGGUGAAAUCCCCGAGCUUAACUUGGGAACUGCCAUUGAUACUAUUAAUCUUGAAUACCGUGGAGGUUAGCGGAAUAUGUCAUGUAGCGGUGAAAUUCGUAGAUAUUGGGAAGAACACCGAUGGCGAAGGCAGCCAUCUGGACCGACACUGACGCUGAGGCGCGAAAGCGUGGGGAGCAAACAGG
rnacentral:rRNA from 1 species